rnacentral:rRNA from 1 species
AACGUAGGAGGCAAGCGUUAUCCGGAGUUACUGGGCGUAAAGAGUGCGUAGGCGGAUUGAUAAGUGGGUGGUGAAAGCGCCCGGCUAAACCGGGCGAGGUCCAUUCAGACUGUCAGUCUAGAGGCGGAUAGAGGGGUGCGGAAUUCCUGGUGUAGCGGUGAAAUGCGCAGAUAUCAGGAGGGAACACCGGUGGCGAAGGCGGGUCUCUGGGCCGUAACUG